rnacentral:rRNA from 1 species
CUACGGGCGGCUCCAGUGAGGAAUAUUGCACAAUGGGGGGAACCCUGAUGCAGCAACGCCGCGUGGAGGAUGACGCAUUUCGGUGUGUAAACUCCUUUUAUAUGUCAAGAAAAUGACGGUAGCAUAUGAAUAAGCACCGGCUAACUCCGUGCCAGCAGACGCGGUAAUACGGAGGGUGCAAGCGUUACUCGGAAUCACUGGGCGUAAAGUACGCGUAGGCGGGUUGGAAAGUCAGGUGUGAAAUCCUACAGCUUAACUGUAGAACUGCACUUGAAACUUCUAAUCUAGAGUAUGGGAGGGGGAGAUGGAAUUAGUGGUGUAGGGGUAAAAUCCGUAGAUAUCACUAGGAAUACCUAAAGCGAAGGCGAUCUCCUGGAACAUUACUGACGCUAAGGCGUGAAAGCGUGGGGAGCAAACAGGAUUAGAUACCCCGGUAGUC